UUUAAGUAACAGUCCCUCCCUCGUUCAUACAAAUGAAAUCCAUCAACCCUAAUUUCUCAAAGUUCUUCUUACUACAGGAGCAGCAAAGAGAGUGACACAAGAAAAUGGAUACGAGCGAUGCUCACGAAAUUGCUUGUCUGGUGAUGAUCGUUAAACUAACAAUCAAAUGAUUUCAAAUGGGGUAAUCAAGAGAGCCAGGAGAGGAUCCUUCUGCCAAGAGCCAGAUAGAAAAGAAGCAGCGUGUUGAAAAGAAUGAAAAGAACCAGUUAUGGAAUCUGAAACAAGCUGCUAAGGUUCGUGCUCUGCAAAGGUAUGACAUAGUCAACAUGAGUUUAUCUUAAAAACAUUAACUUGGAUGCCACAUUGGCAUAUUCCAUAUCUAUGAAAAAAAGAAGAAGAAAAAAUCACCGAAUUCCGGAUAUUUUUCUAUUCUACACACCUUUAGUAGGGCGGUGAAUAAGUCAUUUUCUCAUUCUAGUUUGAGGAAGAACCGAAAGCCAUUUAUCAUUCAUAAAACUACGAUCCAACUUUUCAAAAAUUAAUUCUGCUGGGUUCUUAUAUCUUCUAUUGCACCAAGUAAACGGGUUGCCAUAUGAAAAAACUUCAUUCAUAUUCAUCUUAAGUAAACUUUCUCUAACAAAAUUCGGAGGAAAUGAAGCAUCAACAUUACCACCUUGUUUUCCAGAACUAUGCAAUAUGAAAUUAAAGUCGCCAACUAGCAACCAGGGGUUAUUGUUAUUUGCUAGCAUGUAAUUUAAAAAUUUCCACUGAUUCCUUUUACCACACACUGAUAAGGACCCGUAAAUAAAGGAAACAACACAAGUUUUGAUUGCAGGAGUGAUGUCACACAGAAUAUGAAUCAUACUAAGGGAGGAACCUAGAACUUCUAUAUUCGACUUAACAAAGUAACCUAAAGCAAGACCCCCGAUUUACCAACCGACUGAAGGAAAGACCAAGCAUCAAACGCAACCAUUCAUAUUCCAACAUAAAAACUUCAUCUUUGAUCACAACAAUAACUUAAACAAGAUCGAAGCAAGAUUAAAAAGAAGCAAGCAACAGCAGCUAGAAAGACGGAGAACAAGCAGUAUAGGAAAAUAACAGACAACUUAAAAAGAGGAGAAAGUUAAAGAAAAGCAAGAGUGACUUACAAGGUCAUGAGCUAAGGAGGUAUCAUCGGCCAAAGAAUCAUCAUCCAUCAUCAUGAGGUCAACUUCGUUUUCGAACUCUUUAUCAGUUAUUACUGGUUCCGGUGGCAGAGUGGAAAGAGGAUAUGGUUCCAAAAUAAUGCAGUCCUUGGUUUCAUCAAAACGAGGAGGAGCACUCAGUUCUUGCUCAAAGGGAUGAGGCAGAGAUACACCAGCGGUGAAGUUCACUUCAGCAACAGUGCUACAGGAGAAGCUAGAAGUCGUCACCACAGAAUGCGAGAUUGAUGAGGAAGACGUGGCCCAGAAAAUAUUGCUCACAGAGGAACUUAGGCUAGCAGAUAAACCAACACUCCCUAAGUUGAAAGCAGCAGAAGCAUGUGGCGAGAAUGGAGGAGCUGAAGAGAACGAGGGACAGAAAGGUGACUGCAUUUCAUCUGAAGGAGGAGAGUGAUUACUAGCCUCUAGGUAUACUGAUUCAAAAACAGUCUUAGGUCUUUUCCCCUUCCUGUCAUGAACAUCCUCAUUGCUGCCAAUGGAAAAGUUAUCAAAAUGGGACGCAAAAGCUGAAGUAGUCUUAGCAGACACAAAAGGAGUCGAAGAAGCCAAACGGGUCACAUGAAGAGGCUGAGAGUUCGACGACUCUCUAAUAGUCAAAGCAGAUACAGCAGGCAAUGCAUUAGAGAGAGCAAGAGGGGAGAAAAGUGAAGCUUUGUUACCAAUACUCCCAGAUGGCUGAAGACAAACCAAGAAUACAAAAGGCUUCGAGUGGUCCAUGAAAGCCGAGCCAAAUGACGAACCACCAGACUUGGAGCCUUCACCAGUCUCAGUAUGAGACAUCACUUUGGUGACAGCGAAGCACGACGAGAAGGCGAAGGCAAAGCUCUAACAAAGAUCCUUGACUGAGAUUCCCUGCAUCUUUCCUCAUUAUGAUACAAUACAAAGCAUUUUUUACAGGCUCUAAACGGCAACUUAGGGUAAAAGGCUGUCAUAUAGUAGGGUCUCUUUUUAGUAUUAAAGACCACUUUCC